rnacentral:rRNA from 1 species
AUGGGAAAUAUCAUUGACCCUGGUCUUAAGGCCGUGUAUAGAGAUGUUACAGAGCUUGUAGGCAUCGAAGACAAACGGGAUGAGCUCGUUGAGGAGCUCAUUGAUGGGGAUGAGAUGUCCAAGCAACGACUCAAGACAUUGUCAAUUGUUGGAUUUGGAGGAUUGGGCAAGACAACCCUUGCCAGGGCGCUGUAUGACAACAGUAGAGUGCAGUUCGACUGUGGAGUGUUUGUUUCCGUGUCUCAGAAUCCAGACAUCGCAAAGAUUUUCAAGAAGAUGUUGUACAGACUGGACAAAAUUAAGUUUGCAAACAUCAACGAAUCUGUUAGUGAUAACCAACGACUCAUCGAUGAACUGAGAGCAUUUCUUCAGGAUAAGAGGUACCUAAUCGUGAUUGAUGACAUAUGGGACAAAAAUGGAUCUAGAAGGUUGCUAUCUAAGGGAAAGUAUAAGUACCCACGGGAUUGA